AUAAAACCGCCCGCACGACCUCCCCUUUCUCCCGCACGACCUCCUCCUCCUCUCGCGCCGUUCGCCUCCCGCAGCCACGCCCUUCGCCGCAGCCUCGCGCCGAGCCACGGGAAGUCGUGCCCUUCACCGCCGCCUCGCGCUGUCGGAGCCACAGGAAGCCGCCGCAGGUCGCCGGGAGCCUCCCCAGCCGCGGAAGCCCACCCCCGCCGCAGGUCGCUGCCUCCCCAGCCGCCGGAGCCGCCCCCCGCUGCUGUUCACCGCCUCCGAAGCCACAGCUUGGCCGCCGCCACUCUGCCUCCACCACGCCGCCACUCCGCUGGAGUCGCAAGUAAGCUUCUAUUGCUGAACUCAUCUACACUGAGACCAAGCAAACCAAUUUCGUAGCCGCGGGAGCCACCGCCGGGAAGCCGCCCGUCGCGCCUUCCACCGCGGGAGCCACCGCGCCCUUCGCCGCGCGAGCCGCGCGCCGCGCCCUUCGCUGCCCGAGCCGCUCAGCUUGGCCUCUGCCGCGGGGACAACUUGCCCUCAUGCCACCCAACACGGUUUGCAGUCCGUCACAACCAUCCGAUAACUCACGCCAUACACUACAGGGUGGUCACCAACAGGAAUCUGAGGUGCUGCUAUUAUGCACGGUUAUGGAUAAACAGCGACGGUUUUGGAUAAUCUGGUCUAAGAGCUUCUGGAGAAAAAAAAUCCUAAUCAACCAGUUUGGCAAAAACAAUGCUAAGAUUAAGUUCAGCAAGGGAGCUGAACAACCUUUUACAGUAUCCACUCUCACAAAUACUAUGGCCUGGUAAACAACAAGGUAGCCAGCUGCUAAUAAAGACAAGCCCAUGAGGAGAACUGGAUAUAAUGUUAACUCAUGUUCAACUGUUUUGCCUUUUCCCCUGAAGCUUUGCAACUGCGAGGCUCCAGUCUCUGUUGAUCUUAAUGUAAGACCAGGAGAUGAAGUGAUGGAGAUGAAUUUAGCAUUUUAACAAAUCAAGCGGUCAAGCCACCAAAUCAUGAUCCUUUAAUGUUACAGUACAACUUCGAAAGGAUGAGAUACUUUUGGUUGCAUGCUUAACGACAACUAUUUGGUACCACUCAAACUGGACACCGAAGCAAUUUUGAACUCAUGUCAAACAUGUUUGCUAUUUCCUGCAAUUCUUCCCUUUUAUUUCUGCAUGAACUCCUCAGUAUGUACUUCCUGUUGCUAUAUAGUUUUUCCAUAUGCAAUCUGUGGACGAUCACACUCAGAAGUACAGUCGAUGGCUCUAUAUUUUUUAACUUGUCAGCUACCUUUAAAGCGAAUGUGACGAUGAAAACUUACCAUCAGUGCACUUUUCUAUAUAUUAUGUUUUGACAUCCCUACUAAAUUGCUAAGCCAGCGAGGAUAAAAGCUUGCCUUGCCUUUUUCCUUUUUCUCUGUACUGAUAAGAACCCGGUUGUUUUCCUCCUCUCAUGGCCCUGUUAAGUAUAGUCAAUAAACCUUUUCCUCUUAUUUUUGACACGAUCUCUGUUGAUGCAGGUCAUUUUACUAAUUUGAAAAGGUUGGCCGCUGAGAACUUCAUUUAUGCGCAUAGACCAUCCAUGGAUUAGAUAGGAUGUACGAUGCAGUGGCUACAUCGACCGCCCCGAGCUUGCUAAUGACUCUGGCCGGGCAGAUGAUGCCUUUGUGCAACAUUGCAUUGUUGUCGUACACACACUCCAAAACUGACAAAAUAAUUUGACCAUGUGUGCAUUUUCAAUCUCUAAAUCUCUGAUUGCUGAUGAUGUGAAGGAUGGUUGAAAGAACAAAAAUGCCUUACUGUUUAGUACUGCUCAAAUUUGGGUAAACAGUGUAGACCUGCACACCCUUUGAAUGGCACAGAGAAAACAUAUAGAAGUUUAUGGUCGUAUAUCGAGUUUAUUAUACUGUGAGCAAUUGGAGAUUUGACCAUUUCUAUCAGUUAUGGGUUAGUGAGGACAAAUUGGGGCGUAAAUCUGGAUGAUUUUAAGUUGUAUGUAGCCAAGUAGGUCAAGUCACCAGACUGUACGAGGCAACUGUUAUACUAACCCUCUGCAUGUUUAUGAAGAUUGAAGACACUUACUUUUGUUGCAGUCAUGAAGUGUCAGAGGUUGCAGGCUGAAGCCUUUUUCUAUCAUAGAAUUAAUGCACCUCCCAUGUUCUAUUAAGAGGAAAAACGUAAGUAAUGGCCGCGCCCUUUCGUGGAAAUGUUUACGCAGUCAAUCCUACAUUGAUAGCAAUGUUUUAAACUGUGUUAAAAAACUCAAAGUUUUAAACUAUAUCUAAGAUAUGCUUGCUACUGUAUGUAUAAUUUAGCAAGCGGUUAAAUAUGUGCAGAGAACUUUCCUAGGUUUGUCUGGUGAAGAAUUGACAAGAAUGCACUAGAUUUGGUUUGCAAGUUCUGUACGCAUUGUUUUCAUCACCUUGUGUCGUAGCGGCGAUAUUUAUGUGGUGGCCUGUAGUCAAAACAUAGGAAAGACUUUGCAGGAGAUAGAAGUUUCGAUCUUACAAACACAAUGAAGGUACCCCUCUGCUCUUUCCUUAGACAAACCAUUCCAGAUGAUGAUCAUGUCAUAUUUUAUUUUUGAUAAUCAAAGUGAAUUUCUUUGAAAUCAUGUGUUUGUGGCAAUGACAUUAUGAGACGGAGGGAGUAACACAUAAUGGAGCAUGGAGAAGAAAAUGUAGAUUCUGCUUGUCUCCAAUUGUGUUUUGGGCAUGUUGUUUUGUAUUGAACACAAAUAUAUAAUCAGUUGUUUUUUCAAAGUUUAUCCUUCACCAUAUUAUUUUUUCAUUUUCACAUGAAAACUUUUGGGCGAGGAGACUAGGAACAGAGAUUUUUCAGUUCUGAAGGCAAUGGUAUAACAACCGUGUGUUUUCAGUUUUUUUCAAAUGAAUUUCACACUAUCGCUAGAGCAUCUUCAGUGAAAUGCAGCCCUGUUCAUUUAUCUUGACCAUUAAAAGUUGAACACUCCUUCGAGUGAAAUAUCGAUGUCACCUACUUAUGGUGUGUGUACUAUGUUUUGCUCUCACUAUACUACAAUAAGAAUAUUAUUCAUUGUUCACCACGGUUUCAUAUUUCAAUGCCUGCAGGUAUUUCACCGGGAGAACAAGUUUGUAGAUACCUACAAUAUAAAUACUGAUUUUCUUGUUCUCUGUUUUUAUUGACAUUUUCAAUUAUGCAAUAUGAGUUUUUUGCGGGUAAUUGUGCAAUAUGAGUUGAAAUGAAUAAAAUAGCACAAGUAUUAUUGUUGACUAAUUAUUAAAGUACCUCCCUUCCAAGAAGCCCUUGAACAAAGAACAAGGGAAUUUCAGAGUCCUGGUUUCACUACCUCCGAGGAUGUGGGAGCCGCCACCACCAUUGCUUCGUUCCAGAACUAAUGGUCCAAGGUAUAUGUUCUCGCUGCCUAAUAGUUAUCGUUUGCAUAUCGUGAGUAUAGUUUCCAGUAAGAUUGGCAGAAAAAGAUUAUUGUUUGCAGUAUUUUUUAAGGAAGAGUUCCCUCUAGGGACAUUUCUUGUGAGCAACAUCUUACAUUUCAGAUUGUUAUGUCAAUACAUGUCACUGCUAAAAACAUUAUUGAAUGGUCAAGGAACAUCACAAUAGUUCAUACAAGAAAUUGAGACGGAUCUAGAAGAAAUGGUUUUCCUAGCUAAGAAGUGCUCUUUCUGGUUUGAUUUCUAAAAAUACGUCGGAAGAUAGCAUCGUUCGUGUACCCCUUCCGCGAAUGAGACCGAUAGUGGCUCUCAAUGUCCAUUUGUGUGGACUCAUACUUGAGUCUUGGGUUGCUUUAAUACGAGUAGCAUUAUCUGAUGAGAUGAAGCAACCAUGUAUUUGCUAGCAUGAUGACUUCAGCCUACCGGUAGCAUUAUGUGAUGAAAUGAGGAGGCGACCAUGUAUUUUCCAGCAUGAUGACUUGAGCCGCAACAUCAGUGCCGAGUAGCCGAAGAAGUAACUGCAUGCACUUCUAUUGUAGAUUAGUGUUGGCCUGCUUGACACUGAAUAUAAAUUAAGACCCAUAGAGAGGGAUUGGUCAUAAUAGGCAUCUAUGUACAUUGCACUUAUAGUCCUUCGUCGAGUCACACGAGAGGGGUAUGCUGUUUUAUACCAUGUAGACUGACGAAUGUAAAUUUAGACUGCUACUUAUGGUUCCAAAGGAUUAACAAGAAAAACUCGUUUGUUUAUACAACCUUGCAGUUAUAAGUUCACUUUGCAAACUUUAUCACACUAGCAAUGUCGUGUGCAGAGAUAUUGUGUUUCAGCAAACUUGAUCAUAUGGACAUUGUUGUGUGUAGAUAUCACUAACUUCCGUGGCUAUAAGAAAAACUAUAUCUCUAUUUCCACUAGCGGGUAAAUGCAACCUGAAUGAAGAACACAAGCUCUAUUUCCUCAAGCUAUAUGUUAGGUUGCAUAUAUAGAGCAAAGGUGAGGUCCUUAUCCUUGCUGGUUUGGCAGACCGCAUCCCCAUGGCCAAUAAGCUGCUGCGCUACAGAUGGACAGGCAGUGAGAUUUGACCGGCGUGUAGCUCUUGCCAAGAGACGACAGAUCACAUGUUCUUUUCUUGCAGCUUUGUGAGGCAGCUAUGGCCAACAGUGGCCUUUUGGUCGUGAUACCAGGUGUUGUCUCCCCCAGUUCCUAGAACAUCACUCCCAUCUACGACUGGUGGAUGGAGACCAGGUUCCAAAGGAGGAGAAAAGGCAUUUUCAUGGGGUCACCUUGUACUGCACUUGGCAAACUUGAAAAGAUUGGAACAGUCAUAUUUUUUGCACGACUACAUGGGAGUCAAGAUCAGAUAGUUAGUGAGGAUGAGGGAACAUGCCUUUGUUAGAGUUGUUUUGGAUGCAUGGUGGGGGCUAAGGUUUUGGGCCUGCUUUUUCCUCUCUGUUAGAAAAAAAUCUAGCGGUAUGUGUCUGAUUGUAAACCUAUCUUCUUCUACUAACAUAUACAACAUCGCUCCUGUCAAGUUUUUUUAUUUUAAAAACUACACUUGCUUGCAA